GACGAACGCUGGCGGCGUGCUUAACACAUGCAAGUCGAACGGUAAGGCCCUUCGGGGUACACGAGUGGCGAACGGGUGAGUAACACGUGGGUGAUCUGCCCUGCACUUCGGGAUAAGCCUGGGAAACUGGGUCUACUACCGGAUAGGACCACUGCCUGCAUGGGUGGUGGUGGAAAGCUUUUGCGGUGUGGGGUGGGCCCGCGGCCUAUCAGCUUGUUGGUGGGGUGAUGGCCUACCAAGGCGACGACGGGUAGCCGGCCUGAGAGGGUGACCGGCCACACUGGGACUGAGAUACGGCCCAGACUCCUACGGGAGGCAGCAGUGGGGAAUAUUGCACAAUGGGCGCAAGCCUGAUGCAGCGACGCCGCGUGAGGGAUGACGGCCUUCGGGUUGUAAACCUCUUUCAGCACCGACGAAGCGCAAGUGACGGUAGGUGCAGAAGAAGGACCGGCCAACUACGUGCCAGCAGCCGCUGUAA
rnacentral:rRNA from 1 species